CGAUUUUAGUUAUUGACUAAUGAUAUAUUCAUAUCAAAAUCAUUAUAUAUCAUUGUUACGUGUACCAUUAUUUAUCGACAUAACUUUUAUAUUUAUUCAACAUCGAAUAAUUCCAUAAAUAAAUUAAUAUAAGGAUUUAUAAAAUCACGAGAAGCUAUAACUAGUAAUUUCUAGUAACUUUAUUAUCUUUGAAUAAAAGUCUGAUAAUUGAUUUACUAUUACCCCGAUUCUGCUUGAACUUGUUCAAAGCAGACGAUUUAUCGCCAUUUUGUCAAAAAGGCUAGACGUAAUAACAAACAGUACGAAAUUAUAAAAAUGUCAGCUAUAAGAACAGUUUUACGAAAUUUUACAAGAUCUUU